AUAUAAGAUAAAAAUAAACAAGUUAUCGUUGUAUGAUUUAUCCCAUCUUAAUCAAAAAUAUUAUAAUGGAUGUUGUUAAGUAAAUAAUAUGAAUGAAAAAGUAUUUCUCAAUUUUUGAGGUUAGAUUCUAAAUAAAUAGGUAAUGUCACUAAUGUGCUUCAUUCAUGGUGUUCGUUUCCAUACUGCAUUUACUUGUCGCUCACAUGUGUCGGUUGUGUGCUGAAAAUAUUUUCAUCUAUUUAUUGUGAAUAUUUAUUAAUUUAUUAGUAAAAAUGAAUAUUUUGACAAACGAAGAUAAUCCCAAUACAUUAAAAUUAGUAAUCGCAGCUAAAAUAGUUCAACAAUCUGUUACCGUAAAAAAGGUAGAACCAAAAGGAAGCUUUUUAGGCCGUUUACCUUCCAUUGAACUAUCAUCCGGAUUAGUAUUAUUUAGUACUAAUGCAGCAAUGCAGCUUAUAAUAUCUCCAUCCGAAGAGUCAAAAAUUAUUAAUAACAAAUGGUUAGAAUGGGAAAUAUCUCAAUUACAGUCAGCUAUAAUAUUUUAUGGUAAUACAGGAAUUUAUAAAACUACACAUAAAUCAUGUUUAUGGUCUUUAUUAGAAGAACUUAAUAAUGUAUUGAAAGAUAAAAAGUACUUAAUUAAGGAUAAUAACGAUUUAUCAUUAGCAGAUAUAUGUAUUUGGGUGACUUUAUGGUCUACUGUAUUAGUUACAGAAAUUGGAAAUGAAUUAUGUAAAGAAUAUCAACAUAUUAAUAAUUGGAUAUCCAAUAUUGAAUCACAUCCAAUUAUUCAGGAUUCUAUCAAAGAAUAUAAAUUUGAAAGAGGUUUGAAAGCUAUUUUCAGUAUUCAAACUGUAUCUUGGUUUCCUAUUAAUACUAUACAAAAUUUUCGAUCUCCUAAAUCAGCUGAUAUUCAGCUUAGUCCAACUAAAGAAAAAGAAGUGGAAGCAGUUAGUCAAGAAGAAAUGCAUAUUAUUUCAAGUAAUUGGUCGUCUAUAUCAUAUCCUGAUAUAAAGAAUUUUCCUUAUCCCGUAUUACCAAAAAAAGAUGAAAGAAAUAUUUUAAUAACAUCAGCACUACCUUAUGUCAACAAUGUUCCUCAUUUAGGAAAUAUUAUUGGUUGUGUUCUUUCUGCUGAUAUUUUUGCCAGAUAUUGUAGACAAAGAAAUUAUAAUACUCUUUUUAUUAGUGGUACUGAUGAAUAUGGUACUGCUACAGAAGCUAAAGCUUUAGAAGAAAAAACUACGCCUCAGAGUAUUUGUGACAAAUUUUUUGAUAUACAUAACGAUGUUUAUCGAUGGUUUAACAUAGGAUUUGAUUAUUUUGGUCGAACUACUACACCUGAACAAACAGAAAUUGUUCAAAAAUUUUUCUUAAGGAUUAAAUCACAAGGUUAUAUAUUAAGUGAAACUGUAGAUCAACUUCUUUGCGAAACUUGUGAUAGAUUUUUGGCAGAUAGAUUUGUAGAAGGAACUUGUCCAAGAUGCAAAUAUGAAGAUGCACGUGGUGACCAAUGCGAUGGAUGUGGUCAUUUAAUAAACGCAACAGAUUUAAUAUCUCCGCGAUGUAAAGUAUGUAGUAAUAGGCCUAUUGUUAAAAAAUCGGAGCAAUUCUUUCUAGAUUUACCUAAAUUAGAAAAUAAGUUAAAGGAAUGGUCGUCAACCGUAGAAAAAGGAUGGUCGGGUGUUGCAAGAGUAGUUGCAAAACCAUGGUUACGUGAUGGACUUAAACCACGAUGUAUAACGAGAGACUUAAAGUGGGGUAUACCUGUUCCGGUAAAAGGUUUUGAAAAUAAAGUAUUUUAUGUUUGGUUUGAUGCACCUUUUGGUUAUAUCAGUAUCACAAAAAGAUAUACAAAAGAAUACGAGCAAUGGUGGAAACCUAAAGAUAUAAAAGUUGAUCUAUAUCAAUUUAUGGCAAAAGAUAAUGUUCCAUUUCAUGCAAUCAUGUUUCCUGCUUCCUUAUUAGCAGCUAAUGAAGAUUAUAUAUUAUUGAAACAUUUAAUGGCAACAGAAUACCUUAAUUAUGAAGAUACAAAGUUUUCUAAAUCGAGAGGUAUAGGAGUAUUUGGAACUGAUGCUAGAGAUACAGGUAUACCAUCUGAUGUAUGGCGAUUUUAUCUAGCAUAUGUUAGACCCGAAACUCAAGAUUCAAAUUUUAAUUGGGUAGAUUUAGCAACUAAAAAUAAUAGUGAAUUAUUAAACAACUUUGGAAAUUUUGUUAAUAGGGCUUUGGUAUUUGUGGAAAGAUAUUUUGAGUCUAAAAUACCACCAAUAGAACUUCAGGAAGAUGAUUUGAUAUUAUUGGCAUUGGCUCAACGAGAAUUAUCAUCUUAUAUACAUGCUAUGGAACAAGCUAAAUUACGUGAUGGUUUGAAACACAUUUUAGCAAUUUCAAAACAUGGAAAUCAGUAUAUGCAGUUUCAAGAACCAUGGGUGAAAAUCAAAGGAACUGAUAAUGAUAAGUACCCUUGUUCAGUGUGGAUUGCUGUUACAUGAGUUAAUUUUAUGCUGUAAAAUAAGUCCUAUAAACUGAUUGUGACUGUUAAUCAACUUUCAUGUAUUAAAUUAUGUUACAGAAAAAGAGCUGGAACAAUCAUCGGUAUUAGCUGUAACGUGGCGUGUCUUUUAUCGGCUCUUUUGGCUCCAUUUAUGCCCAGUAUCGCUCGUGAAUUAAGAUCGCAAUUAGGAUUAACCACCAAUAGUUAUGGUUAUAUUCCUGAUUUUAUUACAAAUAUACUUCCAACGGCACACAAAAUUGGUAAACCGUCUCCUCUAUUU
rnacentral:misc_RNA from 1 species